rnacentral:rRNA from 1 species
GUAGUUAGCCGGGGCUUUCUAAUGGGGUACCGUCACUUCCUUCGUCCCCCCACAACAGAGGUUUACAAUCCGAAAACCUUCUUCCCUCACGCGGCGUUGCUGGGUCAGGCUUUCGCCCAUUGCCCAAUAUUCCCCACUGCUGCCUCCCGUAGGAGUCUGGACCGUGUCUCAGUUCCAGUGUGGCCGUUCAGCCUCUCAGCUCGGCUACCCAUCGUCGGCUUGGUGGGCUGUUAUCUCACCAACUACCUAAUGGGACGCGAACCCCUCCUUUAGCGGAUUGCUCCUUUGACCCCUUCGCCAUGUGGCAUUGUGGUCUUAUGCGGUAUUAGCACUUGUUUCCAGGUGUUAUCCCCCUCAAAAGGGCAGGUUGUUCACGCGUUACUCACCCGUUCGCCACUAGCUAUAAAUCCGAAAACCUAUAGCCCGUUCGACUUGCAUGUGUUAGGCACGCCGCCAGCGUUCGUCCUGAGCAUGAUACAACUACUGA